rnacentral:rRNA from 1 species
UACGUAGGGGGCAAGCGUUGUCCGGAUUUACUGGGCGUAAAGCGCGCGUAGGCGGAGCUUUAAGCGUGGCCUGAAAGCCCCCGGCUCAACCGGGGAGGGCGGCUGCGAACUGGAGUUCUUGAGGGCGAUAGAGGGGGGUGGAAUUCCUGGUGUAGCGGUGAAAUGCGUAGAGAUCCGGAAGAACACCGGUGGCGAAGGCGGCCUGCUGGGCAGUAGCUGACACUGAGGCGCAACAGCGUGGGGAGCAAACAGG